AUCCAUGGCGCGCGGGCACUCCAUUACCAUGUCCGCACGUACAUAAAGAUAGGAGGAACAGAACGUCCGUUAGGCUUGCGGUGCGUCAGUGUGGAGACCUGGCGUAAUGCUGCGCGCCGGUUUUGGCGGCAGCGAGGCGCACUCUUGCGGAGGCAGGUGCGCUAAAGCCGGAAAAUGUCA
ncrna:unclassified sequences malK-I RNA